CAGCACCGAGAUGGAGCAGCAAGGCCUCUUAAGGGGCCGGCUCAGCUCCAUCUGUCCCAGCUCCCUGUUGCUAUCAGUGUCUGGAGGAGCGAUCUUACCCAAGUAACAUCUCACACUUCUCCAAAGAACGCCUCAUCCACACCAGGCUGGACUGUUCUGCUCUCUCUCGACCCUGAACCACACCAACGUUGCACAAAUCUGUCUCAAGUCACCUGUUAGUUGUUGACCAUGCUAUUUGCCUCUGUCAAGAGAAAAGGAUGGUCCCAGGACACAGGAAGAGAACAUCAUGCCUCAGUCCCUCUGAAACAAAACAGAAAUUUCCUGGAUUUUUAUCAUUUUGUUCUCUUCUCUUCAAUGCUGGGGACAGAAAAAAAAAAGGAUCACACAGGCUCAGCAGGUGCUCUAUAACUGAGUUCUACCUCAACCAUCCUGUUCACGGUUGAUAAUGAGUCUGUGUGGCUUCCUUGUCAGGCUCUGGGUCCCACUUGCCUCCUGGGACCAUGCCCUUUCAGAUAAUAAAAUCCAAGUACAACUGA